rnacentral:rRNA from 1 species
UACGACGGGGGCUAGCGUUGCUCGGAAUUACUGGGCGUAAAGGGCGCGUAGGCGGACAGUUUAGUCAGAGGUGAAAGCCCAGGGCUCAACCUUGGAACUGCCUUUGAUACUGGCUGUCUUGAGUUCGGGAGAGGUGAGUGGAAUGCCGAGUGUAGAGGUGAAAUUCGUAGAUAUUCGCAAGAACACCAGUGGCGAAGGCGGCUCACUGGCCCGAUACUGACGCUGAGGCACGAAAGCGUGGGGAGCAAACAGG